rnacentral:lncRNA from 1 species
AAAAGUAGAAAAAUAGGUUCGAAUUACCACAUAGGGUUCCAAUAAAAUCCUAGAAUAAAAACUUAGCUACUCAUGUUCGUUACGAAAAGCAUAAUAAAAAUACGAAAAAUCAUAAAAGCUAAUAAAAGAGGAGAACUAUGAUGAAGAUUCGUCAAGUCUUCGUCUUCGUUCUUGUGCUCCUUGAUUGCGUGUAGAAAGAUGAAAAAUAAAAACCUAAAGAUUAAAGAUAAAAGGUAAA